AAAUUGAAGAGUUUGAUCAUGGCUCAGAUUGAACGCUGGCGGCAGGCCUAACACAUGCAAGUCGAACGGUAACAGAAAGCAGCUUGCUGCUUUGCUGACGAGUGGCGGACGGGUGAGUAAUGUCUGGGAAACUGCCUGGUGGAGGGGGAUAACUACUGGAAACGGUAGCUAAUACCGCAUAACGUCGCAAGACCAAAGAGGGGGACCUUAGGGCCUCUUGCCAUCGGAUGUGCCCAGAUGGGAUUAGCUAGUAGGUGGGGUAA
rnacentral:rRNA from 1 species